AAAUAAAAGAGAAAAUAAAAGAGAAAAUAAAAAAAAAGGUUUUUUUUUUGUAUUUAUUCCCCUCUUAAUUUUUUUCAUAAAUAGUCUUAUAAAAUUUAUAAUAUCCUAUUCCCGCCACGCAAGCGUCAUAUAAACGUCAUGUCAAUUACUGUAAAGGGUUAAGUUAAACACGGUAAAUCAUUCACCGUAUUUAGACGGGCUAAACAGUAGACAAGCUCCACAGUGCAAAGAACUCAAAUGGUCCCACAAUGCAGUUUAGCUUAAACAUAGUAAAUCAUUCAUUGUGUUUUUAAACACGGUGAAUGGUUCACCGUAUUUAACUUAUACCAACCAGCCGCUGACGUGGCGCUUACAUGAUAGGGAUAGGGCUAAUUUUGCAAUUAGAAAUUUCGUAAGAUUAUUUAUGAAAAUAAAUUUAUGAGAAAGUUAAAUGUAAAAAAGCCCUAAAAAAUGUAUUUUUUUUCCUAUUAUUUGGAUCAUCAAAAAAAGAUCAGAGAGAGAGAGAGAGAAAAUAAUUUU
rnacentral:lncRNA from 1 species